rnacentral:rRNA from 1 species
UACGGAGGGUGCAAGCGUUGUUCGGAUUUACUGGGCGUAAAGCGCGUGCAGGUGGGUGGACAAGUCGGAAGUGAAAUCCCAGGGCUCAACCCUGGGGCUGCUCCCGAAACUGUUCGUCUAGGGACUGGUAGAGGCUGGUAGAAUUCCCGGUGUAGCGGUGGAAUGCGUAGAGAUCGGGAAGAAUACCCGUGGCGAAGGCGGCCAGCUGGGCCAGGUCCGACACUGAGGCGCGAAAGCGUGGGGAGCAAACAGG